CUCUCUUCCACUCAUAGACAAGGCAAAACUCUCCGUUGAUUUCCCAAAAAGUUAAUCUUUUUUCCACAUUUUCUUUUUUGUUCUCCGAAAACUCAUUAGGUUUUCCCCAAAAAAUUAAUUUUGUGGUUCAAUUUCAUAUACUUUUUUAGCAAAGCAGAAUUGGGUUUAGUGGGGAAUAGAAAUUGGGAAGAAAUUGGUCUAGCCAAUUCAUCCUUCUGUCAAUAUUAGCAUUUUGGCAUCAAAGAGGCAUAACUCUUCAUACAAUAUCUACAUCUUCUAUUUGCUGAAGAAGGGUAGGAAAUUUUACAUCAGACUACAGGGAAUAUAUUCUCACGGGGAUUAUGAGUUUAACAAAAUUUGGCUUACUUUAGAUUUAUGUUGCAGUUCCAUAACAUAUUCACCAAGUGAAGACAUUAACAUGCAGGAUGCAGCAAGGUUCCGUGAUGAGUUAAAGAAUAUUGCCCCUCAUUCUCUCUUGAAAUGUUCGAGUGAUGCGACAACGCUGGUCAGUCCAAAGGCUCCUCCUAUCCGGGACUCUGUGAAGGCCAUAUCCCGCAGUCAAGCUAAAUAUUAUAUUAAGACUUCUGAUAUCAACAUUUCCACGUAUGGUCUGCUCAGCCAUAUGGCUAGGAACAAACUCAAGCUUAUUUGAAAUCUCUGGGUUUUUUUAUGCAGUACGAAUAAAUGGGAUGACCCAAAGAGGGUGAGGACGACAACAAAAGUUCUCACAAGUAUUGUUUUGUUGAGGAUAAUUGUGUUAAUCGAGUUACACAUCGUUAACACUACUAUGUUUUUCUCUUUACUUAAAUGUAGAGGCUUAAGGAGUAGAUGUCUUCAAUACGUUCAGGCUUAAGGAGUAGAUGUCUUCAAUACGUUCUUUAUUAGUUUGUUUAUUAAUUAUAUCAUCACCA